UACGUAGGCAGCAAGCGUUGUUCGGAGUUACUGGGCGUAAAGGGUGUGUAGGCGGUUGUUUAAGUUUGGUGUGAAAUCUCCCGGCUCAACCGGGGAGGGUGCGCCGAAUACUGAAUAACUAGAGUGCGGGAGAGGAAAGUGGAAUUCCUGGUGUAGCGGUGAAAUGCGUAGAUAUCAGGAGGAACACCGGUGGUGUAGACGGCUUUCUGGACCGAGAUUGACACUGAUGAGCGAAAGCCAGGGGAGCAAACGGG
rnacentral:rRNA from 1 species